UUACGUUUUGUCGACCUGUAUUCAUUUCAAAUCACUGUCACUCGCAUCACUCUCCGUAGUUUUUUAAUAUUAACACUGACACUCUGGCACAUAUUAUAUUAUAUUUUUUAAACUGAACUGAUAAUAUACGGAUUACGGAUUGCAAAUUUAAUACGCGAGAGCGUUAACGUCAGAGUAUAUCGUGUUCAGAGCAACUGAAUAGAUACUAAAUAAUAAUAUGUUGUUAAAAUACGUCGUAAAAUAAUUUGGAAAUAGAUUCUAAAUGUAAUAAUCAUUUUCUUAUUUCGCUGUACGCGUUUUUCUCCGAUUCGGUUUAAUAAACAUUUACCAGUAAUAUAUUAGUUUUAAGUCAAAACAGUGAACACUGUUAAUCGGCAUUAAAAUCUGUGUUAAAAUAUUAUCUAUGUAUAAUCCAUGAUUUAAGAAAAAAAAAAUCGUGGUAUAAUCAAAUGCAUGUUAUCAACUUACAGUACACGACUUUUACAUUAUACUGGCGCCGUGCCUCCUUGGUUAACCGUGCUUGGAGAUAAGAGAUACCUUGAACCUGUUGGUUGUUUACUGUUUAGUGUUUACCGUUUUCAUUUGAAAUUCAACCUUUGAACAGGCUAUUCGUUGUUGUGCUAAGUUCACAGGUUAAUCGCGCAUAUUUAGAUAUGCGAGUUUCUUAUACAUCGUUCACAUACACGCUCGUCGAUCGCGACAACGACGCAAGAUUCUAUUUCCGCGCGUAGCUUCGCGAAAUUUAAUACUGUUGAAUGUUAUCGGACCGUUCAGUUGACACGCGCGUUUAGAUCCUCACACGCAAUAGUGGUGGCGCCUAAUCGGCACAGCUCAAGGGGUAUGCGACAUAGGGCGGAGUUUUUAAGAGGUACUUUAUUAGCAAGAGAUCAAAUCACGGAGUUGAAGAAAGUUCAUAAAGCUGGUGUUUUGGUAGCUCGAAAAACGAAAAAUAUUAUCAAAACAGAUAAACAGAUUUUACCAUCUAAUUGGUUCAAUUACUGAAGGAUCUCCACUUAAUUUAUUUCGUGAAUGUAUAGAAACAAAUGGUAUUCCAAAGACCUGGAGAAGUAUUUUAAUGCCAUUGAAAACAAAAGUUGAAGUAAAUCUCAAUGAAAGGGUGACUAGAAAAGGCACAAUCUAUAACAAGGAAAAAAAAGCUAGUCAUAAUAUUCCUGAAACAGAAGAGUUUUCCGAAGAAGAUUUACCUCGUGAUUUACUCAAUGGUCUCAAUGAUAGGUAUUUUCGUCGACAAUUGUUAAAACUAUCAAUACCGAAAACAAUAAAAUCAUUUUGAGGAUGUCAAACUCCUAGUCAACUUUUGAAGCAUAAGUUUCAUUAAAAGUUUGUUAAAGCUUGCUUAAUCAUUGGCAGUCUAGAAAAUUCAGAUGAACAAUGAAUUAAAACAACGGAAUUUCAAACGGUGCUUAUACUAUAAAAAAAUUGGACAAUUUUAAAGAUGCAUUAAAUUCAGUGAACUUGACUCCAAAAGUGUUGUGUCCAUAUAUAUAUUUUUGGUAACUUAUUUUUGUUUUUUUUUUUUAAUUAAAACUGAAACUUGUUAUAUUUGUAUUCCUAUUAGUUUCAUAUUUUAAAUUAAUUUUUUUUGUUUUGUUUAAAUAGUAUUAAACGCAUUGUUACGUAAAGGUAAUAUUUAAAGACUUGCUAAGUAUUUCAAAGUUUUUUUAUAUGAAUUUGAUUUAUUGUUUUUAAUUAAUCUACAUUUAUAUAAGAUAUUUGCAUAAUUAUCUUGACUCCGCAUUGCAUGUA